rnacentral:rRNA from 1 species
UACGGGGGGGGCAAGCGUUAUUCGGAAUUACUGGGCGUAAAGGGCUCGUAGGUGGCCAACUAAGUCAGACGGGAAAUCCCUCGGCUUAACCGGGGAACUGCGUCUGAUACUGGAUGGCUUGAGUUUGGGAGAGGGACGCGGAAUUCCAGGUGUAGCGGUGAAAUGCGUAGAUAUCUGGAGGAACACCGGUGGCGAAGGCGGCCCUCUGGACGGAUACUGACGCUGAGGAGCGAAAGCGUGGAGAGCGAACAGG